CAUCGAUCACAACUAAUAGGGAUCAUUCGUAAUAUUUCUUCCUGUAGACGUCGCUGGUGUUCCAUAAGUGGUUGUCGGAAACGUUUUAAUCACUUGGACGCUUGAAUCGCAUUACGUUGCACAUGUUUACAUUAGUAACCACAAAUUAUCGACACUCGCUAAUUUCAACAACCUAAGCUUCAAAAUUGUUGUGUCCCCGGCUGCAAUUAUUCUGAAGGGGGACCACAGAUUCCCAAAAGACAAUGAAAUUCUUUUGAAAUGGAGAGAAGGCAUCAAGAGAGUUGAUCCACCCAUCAAAAAUAUCUAGCCUUCUAGGGAAACCCGGCGGAAAAGUCGACCAAGUUUGCCAUAACCAGCUGAUAACCAUGUCAUGCCAGGAGAUUAUAUAACAACAGGAUUAGAAGCCAUCAUGGAUAACAGACUUUUUACCCAACCAUGAAGUGAUGGAUGGGAUACAUCUUUAUGUUUGAAAUGAAUUCAUGGUUAAAAUCAAAGUGGCUGCAAGUGCGAGGAUCAAUACUUCUGUCAGAUCCAGGUGUAAAAAAAAAUUUGACAAAGGUGACAACAAAUGGCAAAUAGUGGAAUUAUGGAACAGGAUUUAUUUACUAGCCAAGACAGUUCCAUCCUUAUAUUAACACACAAACUUUUCUGAAAGGGAAAUUCCAACUAGAUCAGAAGAAAGUAGUUUGUGAUAGAAAAGUGUCAUCCAACCGAAUUCACAUUAAAAGAGUCCUUGUAUUGUCUAAAAGUUACACAAGGGUAAAACUUAAUGCCCCUCCUUCGCUGUGGCAGGGGAAUAAAAAAUCUGAAACAUGUAAUUCCACGUGGAAACUUCUAAUUCAACUUGGUUCCAGAAUUAUCUAUGUUUGCUGUGUUCUUUCUAAUCUCAUAAAAAUACAUUGUAAAUAAAUAUGCAUAAAAGAUGAAAUGGAUUUACAUGCAA